rnacentral:rRNA from 1 species
GAUGAACGCUAGCGGCAGGCCUAAUACAUGCAAGUCGAGGGGCAGCGGGAGUAGCAAUACUUGCCGGCGACCGGCGCACGGGUGCGUAACACGUAUACAAUCUGCCCAUAUCAGGGGGAUAGCCCGGAGAAAUCCGGAUUAAUACCCCAUAAUAGUAGAGGAGGCAUCUCCUUUAUUUGAAAGCUACGGCGGAUAUGGAUGAGUAUGCGUCGGAUUAGUUAGUUGGCGAGGUAACGGCUCACCAAGACCACGAUCAGUAGGGGAUCUGAGAGGAUUAACCCCCACACGGAUACUGAGACACGGAUCCGACUCCUACGGGAGGCAGCAGUAAGGAAUAUUGGACAAUGCCCGCAAGGGUGAUCCAGCCAUGCCGCGUGCAGGAAGAAGGCCCUAUGGGUCGUAAACUGCUUUUACACCGGAGAAAACCCCCUCACGUGUAAGGGGCUGAUAGUAUGGUGAGAAUAAGCAUCGGCUAACUUCGUGCCAGCAGCCGCGGUAACAC